UACGUAGGGUGCAAGCGUUGUCCGGAAUUAUUGGGCGUAAAGAGCUCGUAGGUGGCCUGUCGCGUCGGCUGUGAAAACUCGGGGCUCAACUCCGAGCUUGCAGUCGAUACGGGCAGGCUAGAGUUCGGCAGGGGGAGACUGGAAUUCCUGGUGUAGCGGUGAAAUGCGCAGAUAUCAGGAGGAACACCGGUGGCGAAGGCGGGUCUCUGGGCCGAUACUGACGCUGAGGAGCGAAAGCGUGGGGAGCAAACAGG
rnacentral:rRNA from 1 species